rnacentral:rRNA from 1 species
ACAGCAGCAGCCGCGGUAAUACGUAGGUGGCAAGCGUUGUCCGGAAUUAUUGGGCGUAAAGGGCUCGCAGGCGGUUUCUUAAGUCUGAUGUGAAAGCCCCCGGCUCAACCGGGGAGGGUCAUUGGAAACUGGGAAACUCGAGUGCAGAAGAGGAGAGUGGAAUUCCACGUGUAGCGGUGAAAUGCGUAGAGAUGUGGAGGAACACCAGUGGCGAAGGCGACUCUCUGGUCUGUAACUGACGCUGUGGAGCGAAAGCGUGGGGAGCGAACAGGAUUAGAUACCCCGGUAGUCCCUGUCUCUUAUAU